ACGGAUAUGACGAAAUAGGUAGACGUAUUAGACUUAGACUCUAAUAACUUAUAGUUGUGAGGGUUCGAAUCCCUCUAUCCGUA
rnacentral:tRNA from 1 species